GGUACCUGGCACUGCGUGUCUAUAUUUGCGGCCAGUUCCCGGGUAGGAAGCUGUGCCAAGCGAUGCCUCGGUCGCCGUGGUUACGG
rnacentral:lncRNA from 1 species